AACGAACGCUGGCGGCGUGGAUUAGGCAUGCAAGUCGAACGAGAAUCUGGAGGUUCAAGUUUUCGGACAAGAACUUUCGGAGGAAAGUGGCGGAAGGGUGAGUACAACAUGGAUAAUCUACCUUCAAGUUGGGUAUAGCUUCCCGAAAGGGGAGAUAAUCCCGAAUGUGGUGAUCCGGCGCCUGUCGGAGAAUCCAAAGGUGGGGACCGCAAGGCCUGCCGCUUGAAGAUGAGUCCGUGCACUAUCAGCUAGUUGGUGAGGUAAUGGCUCACCAAGGCGAUGACGGUUAGCUGGUCUGAGAGGAUGGUCAGCCACACUGGGACUGAGAUACUGCCCAGACUCCUACGGGAGGCUGCAGUCGAGAAUCAUUCGCAAUGGGCGCAAGCCUGACGGUGCGACGUCGCGUGGAGGAUGAAGGUCUUCGGAUUGUAAACCCCUGUCAUGUGGGAUAAAUGGCCAGGGCAUGAAUAGUGCCUUGG
rnacentral:rRNA from 1 species